rnacentral:misc_RNA from 1 species
ACUAAAAGUCGUAACAAGGUAACCGUAGGUGAACCUGCGGUUGGAUCAUUACAAAGUUUUUGUUGCUACUCUUCGGAGAAGCAACUUCAACCCCUUGUGCAAACGUGAAUGUUUUUGGGUGUUCUUUUGGAACGCAAGUUUUAAACCACCCACACUUUAUAAACACUAUUAUUUGUCUGAAAUUAAGAAAUUAAUUAUAAACAACUUUUGACAACGGAUCUCUUGGCUCUC